rnacentral:rRNA from 1 species
AUACGUAGGGUGCAAGCGUUAAUCGGAAUUACUGGGCGUAAAGCGUGCGCAGGCGGUUUUGUAAGACAGGGGUGGAAUCCCCGGGCUCAACCUGGGAACUGCCAUUGUGACUGCAAGGCUGGCGUGCGGCAGAGGGGGGUGGAAUUCCGCGUGUAGCCGUGAAAUGCGUAGAUAUGCGGAGGAACACCGAUGGCGAAGGCAAUCCCCUGGGCCUGCACUGACGCUCAUGCACGAAAGCGUGGGGAGCAAACAGGAUUAGAUACCCUGGUAGUCCACGCCCUAAACGAUGUCAACUGGUUGUUGGGGAUUUAUUUUCUCAGUAACGAAGCUAACGCGUGAAGUUGACCGCCUGGGGAGUACGGCCGCAAGGUUAAAACUCAAAUGAAUUGGCGGGG